rnacentral:rRNA from 1 species
GUCUACAGCCAUGCUACCCUGAACAAGCCCAAUCCUGUCUGAUUUCGGAAGCUAAGCAGGGUCAGGCCUGGUUAGUACUUGGAUGGGAGACCACCUAGGAAGACCAUGUGCUGUAGGUG